AAAAUGUAGCUUAAUAAAAGCCCCUCGCUUACACCUAGGAGACACCUGUUCAACUCAGAUCAUUUUGAG
rnacentral:tRNA from 1 species